UAAUAGAGUUUGACUACUAAAAGAACUACACGUGUAUAUUUAGGGUUGAGACUGUCCUUUAAAUAAGGUUUUUUGGAUCUCUUCUCUCCUCUGUCCUUCUCUUUUUAAUUAUUUUUU
rnacentral:sRNA from 1 species